rnacentral:rRNA from 1 species
CCUACGGUGGGCAGCAGUGGGGAAUAUUGGGCAAUGGGCGCAAGCCUGACCCAGCAACGCCGCGUGAAGGACGAAGGCUUUCGGGUUGUAAACUUCUUUUGACAGGGAGGAAUAGACGACGGUACCUGUCGAAUCAACCACGGCUAACUACGUUCCAGCAGCCGCGGUAAUACGUAGGGGGAAAGCGUUGUACGGAUUUACUGGGUGUAAAGGGCGUGUAGCCGGGUUGAUAAGUGAGAUGUGAAAUCCUGCGGCUUAACCGCAGAACUGCAUUUGAAACUGUUGAUCUUGAGUACUGGAGAGGCAGACGGAAUUCCUAGUGUAGCGGUGAAAUGCGUAGAGAUUAGGAGGAACACCAGUGGCGAAGGCGGUCUGCUGGACAGCAACUGACGGUGAGGCGCGAAAGCGUGGGGAGCAAACAGGAUUAGAUACCCGAGUAGUC